AUUGAACGCUGGCGGAAUGCUUUACACAUGCAAGUCGAACGGCAGCACGGGGGCAACCCUGGUGGCGAGUGGCGAACGGGUGAGUAAUACAUCGGAACGUGCCCAGUCGUGGGGGAUAACGUAGCGAAAGCUACGCUAAUACCGCAUACGAACUGAGGUUGAAAGCGGGGGAUCGCAAGACCUCGCGCGAUCGGAGCGGCCGAUGGCAGAUUAGGUAGUUGGUGGGGUAAAGGCNCACCAAGCCGACGAUCUGUAGCUGGUCUGAGAGGACGACCAGCCACACUGGGACUGAGACACGGCCCAGACUCCUACGGGAGGCAGCAGUGGGGAAUUUUGGACAAUGGGCGCAAGCCUGAUCCAGCCAUUCCGCGUGCAGGAUGAAGGCCCU
rnacentral:rRNA from 1 species